rnacentral:rRNA from 1 species
CCUACGGGAGGCAGCAGUGGGGAAUCUUAGACAAUGGGGGAAACCCUGAUCUAGCGAUGCCGCGUGGAUGAAGAAGGCCUUCGGGUUGUAAAGUCCUUUCACCUGUGAAGAUAAUGACGGUAGCAGGAGAAGAAGCACCGGCAAACUCUGUGCCAGCAGCCGCGGUAAGACAGAGGGUGCUAGCGUUGUUCGGAAUGACUGGGCGUAAAGGGCGCGUAGGCGGAAAUAUUAGUCAGGCGUGAAAGCCCCGGGCUUAACCUGGGAAUAGCGCAUGAAACGGUAUUACUAGAGGACGAGAGAGGAAAGCGGAGUUCCUAGUGUAGAGGUGAAAUUCGUAGAUAUUAGGAGGAACAUCAGAGGCGAAGGCGGCUUUCUGGCUCGUAACUGACGCUGAGGCGCGAAAGCGUGGGGAGCAAACAGGAUUAGAUACCCUGGUAGUCCACGCUGUAAACGAUGAGUGCUAGACGUUGGACCCGAAAGGGAUCAGUGUCGGAGCAAACGCAAUAAGCACUCCGCCUGGGGAGUACGGUCGCAAGAUUAAAACUCAAAGGAAUUGACGG